rnacentral:lncRNA from 1 species
UGAAUUAUAAAAUAGUGAAAAUCAGCAUACUGAAUUAAAGCAAUAAGUCAAAACAGUGAGGCAACAGUCUUAAUAAUCCCCGAAGGGUUCAAAUAGUUGGCAUGAAACUCAGAUAUGGUAAUCAACCCAAAUCAUGAUAAUAACAACUAAGUUUUAGUCAAAUACGCUUUAAAAUCAUCAAUCGGGACGGACCAAGUCACAAUCCCCAAUUGUGCUCUACCACACGCUCGCUAUCUGGCAUGCAAGUCACCUCAAUAUAUCACUAGAUGUGCAAUAUGGGGUUUCCAACCCUCAAAAUAUCAAUUACAAUUAUUUCUCACAUCGAGCCGGGGAAAUCUCUAGCUCGCAACGCCUUUUUCCGCUGAAUAGGCCUCCACGUGCGUCGAAUCUAUCCAAAAUCAGAGCGACUACAUCACAAUAUGUUAAGGAAACAAAGCCCAAGUGAAAACAAUCAAUAAUGGGCACAAAUCCAGAAAUCAUCAAAACCCGAGCCCCAAGCCCACUUCUCGAAACUCAGAAAUUUUUACAUCAUUAGAUUCCUUAUCUCCUCACGAGUUCACCCAUACCAAAAGUUUUAAAAUCCAACCUGAAAUGUUCCUUCAAAUCCAUAAAUAAAAUUUUCAAAUCUCAAGCCCUAGUUUCUUCCAUUUUUAGCUUAAGUUCCAUGAAUUUCUAGGUGGAUUUCACAAUAUAAUCGAGUCUCAAGACCAAAAUUCUUACCUCAAGUCGUUUAUCCUUGAAUCCCUCUUUAAUCUCCACCAAGAAACUCUCAAAAUGAUCAACCAUAGAGGAAAAAUGACCCAAAAUCGCGGAUGAAAUGAAAUUAUAACAUUCUGCUCAGCACUGUUCCUUCUUCAUCGCGAUCAUUGCCUCGCGCUCGCGAAGAAAAAAUCCUCAAAGGCUCCAAAAUACACUAUGCGAACGCAAUAUAUACCAUGUGAAUGUGAUGCUUCUCUCUCCAAACUACGCGAACAUGGGACACCAGAUGCGAACAGGAAGGUCAAUGACCCCUGACCCACAAUUCCUUAUAUGUGAAUGCGGAAAGACUUAUGUCAAUGCAAAGCUCAAAUGUAUAACCUUCCGCAAUCGUGAACCAACAAACGCGAACGAGAAGAGAAAAUUUCCUGCCUUCCAAAAUUCUUUUACGCGAACGCGAGGCUCUCUACGCGAACGCG